GAAAUAUUCAAGCAAGUCAUUCUGAAUGGGUGUACCCGAGAUAAGGACUCUUCGAGGUGUAUUUAAGCUGUUGAGAGCCUGGUACGUUUGGUUUUCAGAGUUCUUCAGUCUAUGUCCCUCAUCACAUAUGACCAGCCCAACACUGCCCUUCUGUAGUGCCUCAGCAUGAAGUCUGAAGGUCUCAUAGGAGAUGAUCAGGAUAGGUGAAGGCACUCGCAGGCCACGCUGGUUCAUAAAGCCAACUAGUUUACGGUCAAUCUCUUCUUUGGAGCCUCCAUCAAUGGCCAGUGGCUG
rnacentral:lncRNA from 1 species